rnacentral:rRNA from 1 species
AUGGAAGGAGCUCGGGUCACACAAACUCCAAUGCCGCAAGACACGCCGACCUCCCCAAGGAGACCUCCGACGGCCACAGCCUCCUUCACAGGGGUCUCAGGCCAGAGCCCUCCCUCCCUGUUUCCACACACUCCCGUCGUCGCUGGCGGCCGUGCAGGCAAGGUGCUCGACGAAAUGCCUCCUGACACGCCAAGGCUCGUCGUCGCAAGCCUCGAGCUGCAGCGGCGGUCGUGGGCGGACGUCCCGCCGGACAUCCUCGGGAUCGUGGCCGGCCGCCUCCCCUGCGUUGAGGACCGCGCCAGGCUGCGCUCCGUCUGCGCCGCCUGGCGCGCGGCGGCGCGCCUCCGCCGCCCGCUGCCGCCGCCGCUCCCCCUGCUCGUCCACGCGGACUUCUCCUUCUCCAGCUUCUCCCCCGACGGUGUCACGACGGGGACGCGUCGCAUCCCCCUGCCCGAGGACGUGGCGGCCGACGAUGUCCGUUGCGUGGGCUCGUUCGAGGGGUGGCUCGCCGGCGUGCGGCCGAACCAAGGUCGCUACUUUGGCGAUGCCCAGUGCUUCUUGAUGAACCCUUUCUCCCGGGACGUGCUCCAUCUCCCGCCUCCCUCCGCGUCCUCUCAUUUCGUCGAUGCCCACAGUAGAUCCCUGCCCAUCAUCGGUGGCUCUGGUGUGGUUGAGUGCACCAUCAACGCCCCACAGUACGUGAUGUCGUUCUGCAAGGUAAUCUUGUCCUCCUCACCUGAUUCUGGGUCCAAAUGCAUUGUGGCUGCCUUCUCGGUGCAUCGGAACGGAGCCAAGCUUGCUCUCUGGCGGCCUGGCAUGACGUCGUGGUGCGUGUGCCUUGGUGGCUGCAUAAGCAAGUUCAGUGAUAUUACCUUCUACCAGGGCAAGAUUUACGUGCUCAGCGAGCUCACCACAAAUCUCUUUGUCAUCGAGAUAACAGAUGACGACGACUCUGGGCUGAUGGCUUCUCGUGUCGAGCGUUGUGUGGCCGAGAGGCCUGAGAUCAAGGGUAGCUACACACAGAGGUGGAACUUGGUAGAAUGGCAUGGAAAACUGUUGUUUAUCGCCAGACACUUAGGUGGCGGUGAAGGCUGGCACGAUAUUUGCAAGGUUGGAGUAUAUAUGGUGGAUUUAAGCACUAAACCUCUUCAAUUCACUGAGAUCAACACCUUGGAUGGCGACUGUAUCUUCAUCAGCCCGUGCAGCAGCAAAUCAUUUCAUGCGUCAGAGUAUGAAAGGGUGGAAGGCAAUGUUAUCUACUUCAUCGAUGGCUAUCUCUGCCAUGCUAAAAAUGGUCCCCUAUUUGAUAAGUUCAUGUACAACUUGAGCGAUGGUACAUUUGCGCCAUUUGCUGCAGAUUUAUCAGAGUGCAACUUUCAGGCACCAGAUGGCAAGCCCAUGAGUCAAACGUGGUUGUUUCCUUCUGAAUGA